UUACUCGCAUUCUUGAAGCCACAGUCAGAGUGACUUACAUUCAUUUCUUCCUGACUCUUCUUGAACGGGGCCACUGAGUGCUGCUUUACCCUGUCUCAGAGAGAAACUCAGUAUUGCUCAUGCAUCAGAAUCGCUGGAUUAAAUUGGCUAUUUCUGUGUGCGUUUGGAAAGUCAGAAACAGAUCCUUGGACAAAGCUUACUAUGCAAACCGUAACCCUUCAAAGCAAGGGCGAGCCCUCGCAUAGCUUUGUGGAGACUGCGGUGUGCGAUGGGAAAGGGGAGCCUCUUCAACAAAUGAUGCCCUGCCUUGCGCUUAUGCGGAGACUCUUUUGAGUUAAAGACACAGUCCAAGUGAGCAAACAUUCUACACCCCACUUCACAGAGAAAUGGGAGCGGAUAUGGUUCUUAGGACCUAGACGACUACCCCAGCCCUAGCUUCCCCACGGUGUGAUCUCCGAUACCUGACAGCCUGCAUGUCCAAAUUUCCAACUUCCAUGCAGAUCUGAAGCCGCAGACAUGGGAUAGCCGAUGCUACUGACCCCUAUAUCCGUGAAAGCCAGGUUGAUAAUCACUGCAUUGGUGGGUGUCCGCAGCUCCUUGUACUUGAUGAAGAUACCCAGGACUACUACGUUGCUGAGAAUGCUCGUGAUACCUAAGGAUGCACACGGAAGGAGCACACAAUCUGUUUAACUUGAACGUUUAGAAGAGAAUGAAAAUUCAAUACUGAAGUUGCUUCAAAAGAGAGCAAGCUCAGCUUAGCCCCUUGUUUGAAGAGGUCCCGUUCUUCUUAGAACUGUAACAUCUUCUGGAAAAUAGAAAUGAAAUGAAAACACAAAGAACUUGAUGAUUGCAGAAGCCAGAGCUGAAGUCUGGCUUCAGUGUCAUCACCAUCGAGCAUCUGUCUGUCUCUAUAAAUUCCCCUGUAGCUUCCA